UUCCGGUUGAUCCCGCCGGACCUGACUGCUAUCGGAUUGAUACUAAGCCAUGCGAGUCUUUGCAGUAAUGCAAGGCAUACGGCUCAGUAACACGUAGUCAACUUACCCUAUGGACGAGGAUAAUCUCGGGAAACUGAGCAUAAUUCUUGAUAGACCAUAAUGCCUGGAAUGGUUUAUGGUUAAAAUGAUUCGUCGCCAUAGGAUGGGACUGCGGCCUAUCAGCUUGUUGGUGAGGUAAUGGCCCACCAAGGCGAUUACAGGUACGGGCUCUGAGAGGAGAAGCCCGGAGAUGGGUACUGAGACAAGGACCCAGGCCCUAUGGGGCGCAGCAGGCGAGAAAACUUUGCAAUGUGCGAAAGCACGACAAGGUUAGUCCGAGUGAUUUCUGCUAAAGAAAUCUUUUGCUAGUUAUAAAACCACUAGUGAAUAAGGGGUGGGCAAGUUCUGGUGUCAGCCGCCGCGGUAAAACCAGCACCUCAAGUGGUCAGGAUGAUUAUUGGGCCUAAAGCAUCCGUAGCCUGCUCUGUAAGUUUUCGGUUAAAUCUAUGCGCUCAACGUAUGGGCUGCCGAAAAUACUGUAGAGAUAGGGAGUGGGAGAGGUAGACGGUACUCGGUAGGAAGGGGUAAAAUCCUUUGAUCUAUCGAUGACCACCUGUGGCGAAGGCGGUCUACCAGAACACGUUCGACGGUGAGGGAUGAAAGCUGGGGGAGCAAACCGGAUUAGAUACCCGGGUAGUCCCAGCUGUAAACGAUGCAGACUCGAUGAUGCAUUGGCAUAUAGCCAGUGCAGUGUCGCAGGGAAGCCGUUAAGUCUGCCGCCUGGGAAGUACGUACGCAAGUAUGAAACUUAAAGGAAUUGGCGGGGGAGCACCACAAGGGGUGAAGCCUGCGGUUCAAUUGGAUUCAACGCCGG
rnacentral:rRNA from 1 species